GACGAUUCGCAAAGAACAACACUUAACAAUUGCCCGAUGCAAAAAUGAAGAAAUUUACAGAAGAUGCUAUCAAAUUCAAAAUGGAUGACAGUAUGUGGAUUCAUAAUUUUGCGUUUAUGUUUUAACUGACAUGAGCAUAAAGUUUGAAGUUUACUGUUUUUCUUUGGUUUUUCUAUGAAUGAAGCAUACCUUCAAUGUGAUGUUUCCUUUCCUGGCUUUUUGCAGCUGCUGAACUGUAUGCCUUUAAUAAUGAGAAGGUACAUGUUGAUUUCCCUAAUUUUGAUAUUUGAAGAUGGGCACUAUGAGUUGCUGCUGAUGUAUUUUAUUCUUUCAUAAGCUCUGUUUAUUGAUUUAUUGCCUAAAAAAAUGUAUCUACCAUUUGGGGGUACCAUUUGCCGACACUAACUAAAACCGGACACUGGCAAAGAGUCCCGAAAGCUAAAAGCACAAAAUCCUAAUCAUCUCUCUCUCUCUCUCUCUCUCUCUCUCUCUCUCUCUCUCUCUCUCUCUCCAGCCAUCAGGUUUCCUUCUUUGGAACUCCAAAAAACCCUAACAAACUAAAAAUCUCCGUGCCCUAUAUGGAAGCUCUUUGCCCUAAAUCGAACUUCAAUUUCAUUAUUUCCCUUAAUCUCUGAAACCUUCGCAGGGAGAUUCUGAUUCCCAUCAAUCUGUCCGUCUAAAUCAUCGGAUCAAUGUAAAAUGGAGAAAAUCGAUCUCUCCUGCUUCUUCUGGAUUAUACUGAUUUGUCGUCCGUUCGCAGAACCGAUCCGAUGAUAGCAACUUUAGAACAGUUGGAUUUAAGACGGAUGGAUGGGAUGGAAGUUGGAUCAAGUUGAUCGGGAGAAGCAUUUUCGGUUUUGCUGCUGCAGCUGCCGCUGUGAUUGCCAUCAACUGCGAUUCCUUGGGCCUCGCAGAGUCUCUCAUCAUCACUUUCCCUGCUUCUCGUGGAGAGCUUGAUUGGCCUCGUGAACAGGAUCAAGAGGGCCUAUACGGUCCUCACCGACUACGGUAGCGACAACGCCCUGCUAACUCAUUGGGAAGCCCUUCUAUUCGUCACUGUCGUCGGUGGACAGAAUUCUGGAAAACCAUCGAUUUUGGAGAGCAUCGUCAGGCGGGAUUUUCUUCCUAGGGGACCUGGUUGGAGUUCUAAAUUUUUUAUUCUUUUGAUUUUAUUUUUUCUUUUCUUUGUUAAAGUUAUUUCUAUGGUGGAUCUUGUGGUAUUCUUGAAGGGAUUGUCAUAUGUCAGUCAUUGGUUCUGCAGCUGCACAAGACAGACAAAGGAGAGACGAAGCAUGUUGAGUUUCUUCACUUGCCAAAGAGGAGAUUUUCAGGUUUCGGUAAAUGUUAUUUUUCCAUUGCUUCGUUGAUUCGAUGUUUGAUUUAUGGGUCUCUUUUACCCCGGCAUCUCCCCUACAUUGUUGCUGCUUCUUGAUUUUAUUUUCAUCUUGAAUUCUCUCAAUUCUGACUCGACGAGUACACGCAUACAACAACAAACAUCUUCAAGUAGGCAGAGGAACUGCAAAGGUGAAAUAAUUACUCUCUACUGCCAUUGAUCUGGAUCAUUUUUUAUGAAAUAAGGUAUUUCCACCAAGCUCUUUUUUUAAGAAUUAUUUAAUAAGUAGGUUGAUUAGAUUGUUGAAUGAAUACAUGGAUAUGAAAAACUAACAUUGAAUCAUGAGCGAAUGGAAAACUACAUAUUUCAUCAUUUACUCUGCUCUACUUUCUAGUCCAUGAGUUUGUUUUUGUCUUUGUUUUUUAUUUUUUAUUUUUUAUUUUUUAUUUUUUUUGCAAAAUUCGAUAUGGUGGUCGAUGAAGGAUUAUUUAUUUAUUUAUAUAUAUGAUGAAUUCCGCCCCUUUUUCUCCACAAUAAGGAAAAUUACAAUUCCUCAAAAAAUCAUUUUCAUUUGAAGGUAUUGAACUCGGAUCUAUUCGCAAGAGCAAAUCGGGUUAACUUUGUACAUGAGUAUGUCCCUGAUUCUGGGAUCUUUUGUUGCAAACUUCUCUGGAAAGUAGAAAUCAGCUAUUGUUUCUAGCUUUUGAUGCAUUUAUGAUCUAAAGAAAUCAAUUAUUUUUUUAUGGGAUAUGAUUGUAGGAUGUGCAUUUCCAAUAUAUUAACUGUAAGUUGCAGCUAUCUUUGUUAUCUACUAAAAAUUUUCAGUAAAAUGAUUCUUAUUCAAUGUAUAGAAUGUGAUAUUUGUAAAGAAAAGCAAUUGAGGCAAGAACUUAUAAUGCAUGUUGCAUCUUUACAAACAAGUCCAUCUGCAAACAUCUUAGGAUAGAGAAUGUUAAAAUUUCACCCUACAACAAAAGCGAGGAACUCGUAACAUUAUGGUUAAGUUGGAUUUCUGCCGCCAAUAAUGAUCCAGCCUCCGGUGAUGGUAAACAAUCUCAAAAUUCAAUUUUCUUUUUCUUUUUUCCCAAAAAAUUCAAUUAGAUUCUUGUUUCAUGGACUUGAAGCAUUACUAACUUAGGCAUCAGAAACAGAAAAAUGAAUGAGAAUGCCUUAUUAACAUUAUAUUUGAUAGUAUUUAGCAGCAACUGGCAAUGAGUAUUGGUGCAACUCUUGUGACAGAGUGCUAGCAGUCAGUGGUGCCAAAUCCUCUGUUUGUUGCAACUAAAAAGUAGUCCAUGGGGAUCCAUAUGUGCUGAUGAGCAUAGGACUUGCAUGUCAUAGUAAUGCUUGCUGUGUAUCGCCUUUGUAUUCUUUUUUACAAAAGAAUUACCAAUGGGGCACUUGGUGUUUUUAGGAUUUGGUUCAUGAGGGAGAAGAAGUAUCUUUUCCAUCAUAGUUAUUGCUAAGUUUGUAAUAAAAACUUUAUUGGUUUUGUAACAAAUGAUGAUGAAGUUGCACGACAGUAGGUGUGUUGUCAGCUCUGUAGAUUUUACCUGUUCCCUGUUCUGCCUAGCCUUUGGUUUGCUCAUUUAAAAUGUGGUGUUAUAUUUUGGUUUUGUAGGUUAGUUUGAGAAAAGUGUUCACAAUCAACAACUAAUUUGAUUUUGAGAGAAGAAAACACUCUUUUGAGUAAUUCUUAACUGAUUCGCCUGAAGCUGGUGCCUCCCUGAUGCACCAUAACCAUUGCAUGGUUACCACAUCCCACGCAUCACACAUUGUUAUAAAGAAUUAAGCUUUCCACUGUUGAAAUACUACUUUCUCAUGUAAAGCAACUGGAACAUUUCUGAAAAGUCUAAAAACAACGAAUCUCCUUUAAACUCUCCCAAAGUCAAGUAUUCACCUAAUUAGGAUAAAACUCCCACAUUCCUACAUAAGGGUAUCAAAACCAAACAUUUACCAUAUUUAUAAUUUCCUAAAAUCAAUUUAAUUAUCAUUUCCAAAUACAGGUUUCAGGAAAUACAAAACCAGCCACAAAAGUCCUGGAAUAUGGGUGUCCGAUCCUUAUGGCCAAAUCGGAAAAGAACAAUCUGUAAACCCAGGAAAAGGGACUGUAAGUCCUUGUAAGCAUAUGACAGGAGUAAAAGUAUGUUCUAUCAACUAAAAUUUUGAAUAAGGCAAUGUUUAUGUUCUAUAUUUGUAUGUGGACUAACAUGGCAACUUCUUUUGACAAUAUGUCACGAAACAAAACCGAUCCAUCAACCAAACUGUGGUGAUAAAAUAUCUAUAAUUUUCCUUUCUUGUAUUUGUAUUUUUAAUGCUUUUCCAUUCCGGGAAAGUUCGAAGAACAUAUAUUGGAAAUUGGAUGUCAAAGAGAUGACACUGGAUAUGAAAAUUCACCUCAAUCAGAGUAUAUUGACCUCCCCCAGUACAGGCGAGCAACACGAGUGUUCGCAGCAACCAUUACUCACCAACAGCUUUGAUUCUAUUCACUCAUCAUUACCUCCUAGGUUUGCCACAAUACUGACAAGCUGUUCAACAUAAAAUUUGAAAGAGAUACUUGUUGGAUUCUUUUGAUUACACAACUAGCUCAAAGUAUUUGUUAGAGUCAGAACCUACAUCGAGUAAUUUGAUUACACAUUGGAUUGCAGGGAUAUGGACCGCAAAGACGAUCAGCCCAACAGUGCCAUCUAUGUUCAACAAGUUAAUGCAUGAAGUGGCUUGAUCAGAGGUUUACCAGUUCUGUCUUCUCCAUUUCAUUUGACAGUGUGGCCAAUCUAGGAGUGGACCACAUGAAGGUUUUUUAUUUAUUUUUAUGUAUUCAAGACCAUUUUCAACGUAUUGUUGUAAAUAUUAUAUAUUUUAUUGUAAAGUAAUACAAUUUUUGUUUAAUAUUCA